GAUGAAGAACGUAGCGAAAUGCGAUAAGUAGUGUGAAUUGCAGAAUUCAGUGAAUCAUCGAAUCUUUGAACGCACAUUGCGCCCUUUGGUAUUCCUUAGGGCAUGCCUGUUCGAGCGUCAUUUAAACCUUCAAGCUAAGCUUGGUGUUGGGUGACUGUCCGCUUCACGGCGGACUCGCCUCAAAAUUAUUGGCGGCCGGUACAUUGGCUUCGAGCGCAGCUGAAACGCGAACUCGGGCCCGUCGUAUUGGCUCCCAGAAGCUAUCUUCACAAUUUUGACCUCGGAUCAGGUAGGGAUACCCGCUGAACUUAAGCAUAUCAAUAAGCGGAGGA
rnacentral:misc_RNA from 1 species